AUGGCGGCGGGGGGCGUGUGGGUGUUCAAGAACGGGGUGAUGGAGCUGGAGCAGGAGGCGAAGAGCCGGAAGGCGCUGGUGUGCGUGCCGGCGAACGAGACGAUGCGGUCGCUGGAGGCGCUGGAGUUGCGGCUGGGGUCGCUGGGGUGGGAGCGCUACUACGAGGACCGUGCCAUCGUGCAGCUCCACAAGCACGGCGGCGGCGACCUCAUCUCCCUUCCCCGGGACUUCUCCAGGCUCCGCUCCACCAUAUGUAUGACGUUGUCGUCAAGAACCGCGACCACUUCAAGGUCGUCGACCUCUAGUUAG
rnacentral:rRNA from 1 species